GGGGCUGUGGUUCAGUGGUAAAACAUCUGUUUUGAAUGCAGAAGGUCCCAGGUUCAAUCCCUGGCAUCUCCC